AGUACCGUGAGGGAAAGGUGAAAAGAACCCCGGGAGGGGAGUGAAAGAGAACCUGAAACCAUAUGCCUACAAGAAGUCAGAGCCCGUUAAAGGGUGAUGGCGUGCCUUUUGUAGAAUGAACCGGCGAGUUACUGUAUGGAGCGAGGUUAAGCAGGAUAUGCGGAGCCGAAGCGAAAGCGAGUCUUAAGAGGGCGCGAGUUGCAUGCAGUAGACCCGAAACCGGGUGAUCUAGCCAUGACCAGGUUGAAGUUGGGGUAAAACCCGAUGGAGGACCGAACCGACCCCCGUUGAAACGUUGGCGGAUGAGUUGUGGCUAGGGGUGAAAUUCCAAUCGAACCCGGAGAUAGCUGGUUCUCCCCGAAAUAGCUUUAGGGCUAGCGUCGAGAGAAGAGUUGCGUGAAGGUAGAGCACUGAAUAUGUGAUGGCCCCAUCUCGGGGUACUGAGCAUAAUCAAACUGCGAAUGUCACGCCAACAUGCUCGGCAGUCAGACAGCGGGUGAUAAGGUCCGUUGUCAAGAGGGAAACAGCCCAGACCAUCAGCUAAGGUCCCAAAAUGUAUGCUAAGUGGAAAAGGAUGUGGAGAUGUACAGACAACUAGGAGGUUGGCUCAGAAGCAGCCAUCCUUUAAAGAGUGCGUAACAGCUCACUAGUCGAAUGACUCUGCGCCGAUAAUUUACCGGGGCUAAGCAUACUACCGAAGCUAUGGAUCCCAAGGGAUGGUAGGGGAGCGUUCCAUGAACGGAGAAGUACGACCGAAAGGACGUGUGGAGAUCAUGGAAGAGAGAAUGCCGGUGUGAGUAGCGGAACGUGGGUGAGAAUCCCACGCACCGAAAACCCAAGGUUUCCAGAGGAAGGUUCGUCCGCUCUGGGUAAGUCGGGACCUAAGGCGAGGCCGAAAGGCGUAGUCGAUGGACAACAGGUAGAGAUUCCUGUACCCGUAUAUAUGUGAAGGAAUGACGGAGAGAGGAAGCUGCAGCCAGCGGCUGGAAGAGCUGGUGCAAGCGAGAUAUCGGGAUGGCAGGCAAAUCCACCAUCCGAAACGAGAAGGCGUGAAGCGUACGGAAAGCUACGGCGAGUACGGAAGGCAGUGGAGGAACUUCCAAGAAAAGUUUCUAACGUUAAGUAUAUAUGGCCCGUACCGAAAAUGGACACACAUGGGUGAGGAGAGAAUCCUAAGGUGAGCGAGAGAACUAUAGCUAAGGAACUCUGCAAAAUGACUCCGUAACUUAGGGAGAAGGAGUGCUCAUAGAGAUAUGAGCCGCAGUGAAACGGCCCAAGCGACUGUUUACCAAAAACACAGCUCUCUGCUAAGCCGCAAGGCGAAGUAUAGGGGGUGACGCCUGCCCGGUGCUGGAAGGUUAAGGGGAGGGGUUAACGCAAGUGAAGCCCUGAACUGAAGCCCCAGUAAACGGCGGCCGUAACUAUAACGGUCCUAAGGUAGCGAAAUUCCUUGUCAGGUAAGUUCUGACCCGCACGAAAGGCGUAACGAUUUGGGCGCUGUCUCAGCUGUAGACUCGGUGAAGUCUUAGUACCUGUGAAGAUGCAGGUUACCCGCGACUAGACGGAAAGACCCCAUGGAGCUUCACUGCAGGUUGAUAUUGGGAUUUGAUGCAGCAUGUACAGGAUAGGUAGGAGGCAAAGAGAUGGAUACGCCAGUAUUCAAGGAGCCGCUGUUGGGAUACUACCCCUGUUGUAUUGGAUUUCUAACCGGACGACGUAGAGCCGUUGACGGGACAGUGUCAGUCGGGCAGUUUGACUGGGGCGGUCGCCUCCCAAAGAGUAACGGAGGCGCCCAAAGAUACCCUCAGCUUGGAUGGAAACCAAGCGCAGAGUGCAAAGGCAAAAGGGUGUUUGACUGCGAGACCCACAAGUCGAGCAGGGACGAAAGUCGGGCUUAGUGAUCCGGCGGUGCUGAAUGGAAAGGCCGUCGCUCAACGGAUAAAAGCUACCCUGGGGAUAACAGGCUGAUCUCCCCCAAGAGUUCACAUCGACGGGGAGGUUUGGCACCUCGAUGUCGGCUCAUCGCAUCCUGGAGCUGAAGUCGGUUCCAAGGGUUGGGCUGUUCGCCCAUUAAAGCGGUACGCGAGCUGGGUUCAGAACGUCGUGAGACAGUUCGGUCCCUAUCUGUCGUGGGCGCAGGAAAUUUGAGAAGAGCUGUCCUCAGUACGAGAGGACCGGGAUGGACGCAUCAAUGGUGGACCAGUUGUCACGCCAGUGGCAUAGCUGGGUAGCUAAAUGCGGAAGGGAUAAACGCUGAAGGCAUCUAAGUGUGAAACCCACUUCAAGAUGAGAUUUCCCAUUGCGCAAGCAAGUAAGACCCCUUAAAGACGAUAAGGUAGAUAGGUCAGGAGUGUAAGCAUGGUGACAUGUUAAGCGGACUGAUACUAAUAGGUCGAGGGCUUGACCGA
rnacentral:rRNA from 1 species